rnacentral:rRNA from 1 species
UACGUAGGAUGCAAGCGUUAUCCGGAUUUACUGGGUGUAAAGGGAGCGCAGGCGGGACUUCAAGUUGGAUGUGAAAUACCGGGGCUCAACCCCGGAGCUGCAUCCAAAACUGUAGUUCUUGAGUGGAGUAGAGGCAAGCGGAAUUCCGAGUGUAGCGGUGAAAUGCGUAGAUAUUCGGAGGAACACCAGUGGCGAAGGCGCCUUGCUGGGCUCUAACUGACGCUGAGGCUCGAAAGUGUGGGGAGCAAACAGG